rnacentral:rRNA from 1 species
UACGGGGGGAGCAAGCGUUGUUCGGAUUUACUGGGCGUAAAGGGCGCGUAGGCGGCGCAACAAGUCACUUGUGAAAUCUCCGGGCUUAACCCGGAGCGGCCAAGUGAUACUGUCGUGCUAGAGUGCGGAAGGGGCUACUGGAAUUCUCGGUGUAGCGGUGAAAUGCGUAGAUAUCGGGAGGAACACCUGAGGCGAAGGCGGGCUACUGGGCCGAUACUGACGCUGAUGCGCGAAAGCCAGGGGAGCGAACGGG